rnacentral:rRNA from 1 species
GAUGAACGCUGGCGGCGUGCCUAAUACAUGCAAGUCGUACGGAAAGGCCCUUCGGGGUACUCGAGUGGCGGACGGCUGAGUAACGCGUGGGAACGUGCCCCAAAGUGAGGGAUAACGCACCGAAAGGUGUGCUAAUACCGCAUAUGGUCUUCGGAUUAAAGCUUCGGCGCUUUGGGAGCGGCCCGCGUACGAUUAGAUAGUUGGUGAGGUAAUGGCUCACCAAGUCGACGAUCGUUAGCUGGUCUGAGAGGAUGAUCAGCCAGACUGGGACUGAGACACGGCCCAGACUCCUACGGGAGGCAGCAGUAAGGAAUCUUCCGCAAUGGGGGCAACCCUGAUGGAGCAACGCCGCGUGCAGGAUGAAGGUUUUCGGAUCGUAAACUGCUUUUAUAAGUGAAGAAUAUGACGGUAACUUAUGAAUAGGGAUCGGCUAACUACGUGCCAGCCGCCGCAGUAA